UUGGUGAUAGGAUUGACUAAACUCGCCACGUCCUGUGGCAAUAUCAAUCGAUCCUACGUCCUGUAAG
rnacentral:sRNA from 1 species